GUAACAACAAUGAUAAAGAGUAGUAGGUGCAAUUGACCUUUUUAGAGAGUGUAUGGUUGGUGAAAAUACACAAGGCAAUGCAUUGAAUGGACUUUUGAGUUGAUAAGGUGAACGGUUGCAGUAGCUUUAUUCGUGCCCCUCGCGUUAAGAGGUAAAGUGGCUAAAGUAAUUUAGCAAGCUGGGUGGUACCACGGAUUUAAAACAUCAUUCGUCCCUUCU
rfam:Lysinibacillus sp. BF-4 contig00064, whole genome shotgun sequence.